GAUGAACGCUGGCGGCAUGCCUAAUACAUGCAAGUCGAACGAAGCGGGCACAGGUGAGUAACACGUGUAUAACCUCCUAUAAGACUGGGAUAACCUCGUGAAACCGGAGCUAAACCGGCUACUUAUAGCUGGAUCAGCGCUGCAUUAGCUAGUUGGUAGGUGAACGGCUUACCAAGUCAACGAUGCCUAGCGGACCUGAGAGGUGGACCAGCAACACGGGAACUGAGACACGGUCCAGACUCCUACGGGAGGCAGCAGUAGGGAAUCUGCCGCAAUGGGCGCAAGCCGGACGGAGCAAUGCCGCGUGAGUGAAGAAGGUCUUCGGAUUGUAAAGCUCUGUUAUUAGGGAAGCGGUACCCAUAGAGAAAGCAACGGCUAACUCCGUGCCAGCAGCCGCGGUAAUAC
rnacentral:rRNA from 1 species